GGAUCAUUACAGAGUAUCAUUCUCUACAAACCCUUCGUGAACGUACCCUUCCGGUUGCCUCGGCGGGCGGCCCCCGGCGUCUUCGGGCGCCGGGCGGCCCCCGGCCCCACCUCGGGGCGCUCGCCGGCGGACAUCAAAACUCUGCUUCAGUGGCCUCUCUGAGUGAAAUACUUUAAUAAGUCAAAACUUUCAACAACGGAUCUCUUGGCUCCAGCAUCGAUGAAGAACGCAGCGAAAUGCGAUAAGUAAUGUGAAUUGCAGAAUUCAGUGAAUCAUCGAGUCUUUGAACGCACAUUGCGCCCGCUAGUAUUCUGGCGGGCAUGCCUGUUCGAGCGUCAUUUCAACCCUCAAGCCCAGCUUGGUGUUGGGGCCCUGCGGCGGCCGCAGGCCCCGAAGAACAGUGGCGGGCUCGCUAUAACUCCGAGCGUAGUAGUUACACCUCGCUCAGGGCGUUUAGGCGGGUGCCGGCCGUUAAACCCCCCCACAUACCAAAGGUUGACCUCGGAUCAGGUAGGAAUACCCGCUGAACUUAAGCAUAUCAAUAAGCGGAGGAAAAGAAACCAACAGGGAUUGCCCUAGUAACGGCGAGUGAAGCGGCAACAGCUCAAAUUUGAAAUCUGGCUUCGGCCCGAGUUGUAAUUUGUAGAGGACGCUUUUGGCGCGGCUCCUUCUGAGUCCCCUGGAACGGGGCGCCACAGAGGGUGAGAGCCCCGUAUAGUGGGAAGCCAAGCCUGUGUAAAGCUCCUUCGACGAGUCGAGUAGUUUGGGAAUGCUGCUCUAAAUGGGAGGUAAAUGCCUUCUAAAGCUAAAUACCGGCCGGAGACCGAUAGCGCACAAGUAGAGUGAUCGAAAGAUGAAAAGCACCUUGAAAAGGGGGUUAAAUAGCACGUGAAAUUGUUGAAAGGGAAGCGCUUGUGACCAGACUUGCGCCGGGCUGGUCAUCCAGUGUUCUCACUGGUGCACUCUGCCCGGCGCAGGCCAGCAUCGGUUCUCGCGGGGGGAUAAAAGCCUCGGGAACGUAGCUCCUCCGGGAGUGUUAUAGACCCGGGGCACAAUACCCUCGCGGGGACCGAGGACCGCG
rnacentral:rRNA from 1 species